CCGGGCGAAGCUAGAACUUAGCAAACCAUUAAGAAGAAGAAGAAACUUGCCAUAGAUUAUGAUGAUCAUCCUUCCCAAACAUACAAUAAGAAGCCGACGGAAUCCAGCUUGACCAACUAUAUCAACACUGGCGAAAAAAGGAAUUUUUACACGCCCCCUCCCCCCUCAAAACAUAAAAAGUUUCAGAAAUCUGGUUGACACUAAAUGGCAAUAUAAAGUUACUAAAUCAUCCUGAUCAAGUCCCAUUUCUGACAACUAACAGAUCAAGAAAUCAGUCCUCCAGGAAGGUCCUGUCAUGAGCCAGAAGCGAGACUUUUGAAAGAACUCAAACCCACGACCUCCUGAACAGCUCACGUGCAUCACAACGACAUCCACAACCGAGGUCAUUCACAAAAUGAGCAACCACGU